rnacentral:lncRNA from 10 species
CCAUCUCAGCCGAACCUCAGAAGCAAGGGACAGAAGGAAAUGGGACGCUGCCUUGGAUGGCAACAAUCAGGACCACAGGAUAGCCACUGGCCUCAUGGACCUGGGGUGGCUUACUUCCCUCCCUGUGCAGAGACAUGGACCCUCGUCUACACCACACACCCCAUCCCCCAUCUAGCAGGACCAGGCUUGGGCUGCAGACCCUGCGGACAGCUUCCCUGACCUAAGCCCCUCCAGCACACCCUGGCUCUGGGGACUAAAGAUGCCCACCCUAAAGGGGGCCCACUGGCUCUGGCUGAGGGCUCAGUACUCCAAGGCCACAGUGGGAAGGUGACCAAACCCCACGAUGACCUUCUCAUUGCCGAACUUGGCUUGAUUGGUGCAAAACAAUCAUGUAUCUCCCUGGAAACAUCCAGAAACACUGGCCAGUGUUGUGGGGAGAGUCUGGCAGCCAUGCUCAGGAGAGCAGAGACCUUGGUGCUGGGCCUGUGCCAUCUGCCCCAGCCGCAGGGUGCACCCUGCAUUUGCCCUGGGGGGAAGUGCCCUAGGCCCGCAGGUCAUGGCCUCGGCAUCUCAGGUGUCUCAAGAGCAACCCGGGAUAUGCUCCAGGCAGAGCACAGAAGGCCCAGGCCCACUCCCCUGACAUGGUGGACUCUGGCCUAUGACAGGAGCCAGUCUGGAUACAAGGGAUCCUGGCCCAGAACCAAAGAGGGCUGCUUUUCAGAUGGUAACUCAAAAUGCUGUUUUUAUAUUCAAGUAAUAAAUAUAUGAUGUCAAGGAAAGCAAAAUGUGCAUGGAUUCUUAAGAUCGAUGGGGCCUGAGUGGAUGCUGGGCAGAGUGGGCACCGGAUUUGCUUUUGCUAGAGCCCAGGAGGGCCCUGGGGGAAGGCUAGGAAGGGGGACACUGCAGGGACCUUGGCUGUCCAGCCAAUGCCACCUUGGCCUCCCCUAACCUGGUAAGGGCCCAGCAUUGCCUUGUCGGGUGGACCCCUCAUGACCCCCCACCCAAAACACAGCAACCAGCUUCAUGCCCAACUCUGAGGAGGCCACUUCUUGCCAAACAUGCUGGCCCCAGAAGUUUACUUAGCCGCAAGGCAGGAAUGACAUUGCACAGCCCACGAGUGACCAGACUUCAGGACCAUGUGGACAACACCAUGUUCCAACCAGAAAACAUCAGGAACUGAAGGGGGGCUGGAAAGGUCGGGGCUAAACUGAAACUCUGAAAAAUAAACUGCAAAACAAAAGUGACGACCCAGCCCCCACCCAGCCCCAGCCACAAUGGACAUUGGCCACGUACCCAAGGGAAUCCAGGACCAGGACGUGAGCCUCCAGGUGCUCUCACAGGACAAACUGCUGGGCAAGCAGGUGGCCCGAGGAGAGAAGCAUGGCAGGAGAAGAGGGUGGCCCCAGGCACACAGCCCAUGGAAGACUAGAGGGAGGGCAAGCAAAGGAGAGACAGCGAAGGAUGGACAGACAGAUGGAUACAGGGGUGGAUGGGGGAUGGAUGAAUGAAUGGAGGGUGGCUGGGGCAGUGGUGGAGGAUGGACAGAGGGACGGACAGAUUGAUGGACAGGUCGGAGGAUCGUGGGAGAUGGACAGAGAUGAAUGGAUGGAUGGGGGAUGGUGGGGAAUGGACAGAUGGAUGAAUGAAUGGGUCGGGGGGAUGCUGAAGGAUGAACUUAUAGAUGAAUGAAUGGAUGGGUGGGUGGAGGGAUGGUGGGAGAUAGACAUACAGAUGAAUGGAUGGAUGGGUGGGUGGGGGGAUGGUGGAGGAUGAACAAAUAAAUGAAUGGAUGGAUGGGUGGGUCGGGGGAUAGUGGAGGAAGAACAUAUAGAUGAAUGGAUGGAUGGGUGGGUGGGGGGAUGG